GUCCGCCCAUCACUGUCCACGCUGUUCCAGAAGCUUUUCCCCACAAUUUUUGUGGAAAACAUCCGUGAAAAUGUGGGCAAAAUGUACAGUUUGCAUACAUUUGGGGAGCCGAAAUUAGGAAGACGACACGUCCACGGACCACGCUACGGGAAGAAUUCAGCACCUGACUCAGUAAAGGAAGAGGACGCUACGAGAGGCUGGUUUGACCAACUCUGCCGCACAGUCGACGUCACAGAUGACGUCACAACUGUUGGAACGGGACAGACGAGCGAAGGAAAUACUGAAAUAGAUGGUGACCAGUUCACUACAGGCUGGUUGCACUGAGGUGGUGUGAACGACUUCAACUACGUCAUGUGCCACGUGAUCACAGGGUGGGCAGCUGAAGGGGGAAGGGGUAGGAUAAGUGAUGUAGAAAUAUACAAGUAUCACAAUUGAUUGUUCAAAGAACAAAAGCCUUUAAUAAAAAGAUAAAAUAAAAAAAAGUGGCCCAGACUAGCCUCCAGAGGAAAUGUGUCAGGUGUAUUUUUCAAGGUACAUAACUGAUUCUAGCAUUAUCUGCUCUAUCUGUCACAUACUGAAACAGUCUAGACUUGAUUUCCUUAGAUGUUAACCAAUGAAAUGUAUUAAAUUGUCACCACCUGUAUCAAGUACUAGAUGCGUUCCCCAAAGAGAUUGUCGAGCAGAUGUUUGUAGAACACAUUAGGACUGUAUUUUCCAACUCGUUUUUUGGUGUACAAAAAAGGCCAAGCUUUGUUUACAUUGCUCAGCGAAAUGUAUCUCUGAUGCUACAUGUUAUGUGAGCACAUUAGAAAAACAGCACAUUUCAUCAUACAGUAUAUUUCUGUCAUAUCAUUCCCUGCCAUGAGUUCAUCCUGGCUUAAGGGAGAGACUUCUGCUUGUCUUCUCUAUUAAUCUGAUAUCAAUUUUGAAUGACGUAACGAAAGAAAUAGAAAUAA